UAUCAAUAAGCGGAGGAAAAGAAACCAACAGGGAUUGCCCUAGUAACGGCGAGUGAAGCGGCAACAGCUCAAAUUUGAAAUCUGGCGUCUUUGGCGUCCGAGUUGUAAUUUGCAGAGGGCGCUUUGGCAUUGGCAGCGGUCCAAGUUCCUUGGAACAGGACGUCACAGAGGGUGAGAAUCCCGUACGUGGUCGCUAGCCUUUACCGUGUAAAGCCCCUUCGACGAGUCGAGUUGUUUGGGAAUGCAGCUCUAAAUGGGAGGUAAAUUUCUUCUAAAGCUAAAUACUGGCCAGAGACCGAUAGCGCACAAGUAGAGUGAUCGAAAGAUGAAAAGCACUUUGGAAAGAGAGUUAAAAAGCACGUGAAAUUGUUGAAAGGGAAGCGCUUGCAGCCAGACUUGCCUGUAGUUGCUCAUCCGGGUUUUUACCCGGUGCACUCUUCUAUAGGCAGGCCAGCAUCAGUUUGGGCGGUUGGAUAAAGGUCUCUGUCACGUACCUCCUCUCGGGGAGAACUUAUAGGGGAGACGUAAUGCAACCAGCCUGGACUGAGGUCCGCGCAUCUGCUAGGAUGCUGGCGUAAUGGCUGUAAGCGGCCCGUCUUGAAACACGGACCAAGGAGUCUAACAUCUAUGCGAGUGUUUGGGUGUCAAGCCCGAGCGCGUAAUGAAAGUGAACGGAGGUGGGAACCUUUCGGGGUGCACCAUCGACCGAUCCUGAUGUCUUCGGAUGGAUUUGAGUAAGAGCAUAGCUGUUGGGACCCGAAAGAUGGUGAACUAUGCUUGAAUAGGGUGAAGCCAGAGGAAACUCUGGUGGAGGCUCGCAGCGGUUCUGACGUGCAAAUCGAUCGUCAAAUUUGGGCAUAGGGG
rnacentral:rRNA from 1 species